UGGGGAAUAUUGCACAAUGGGCGAAAGCCUGAUGCAGCGACGCCGCGUGAGUGAAGAAGUAUUUCGGUAUGUAAAGCUCUAUCAGCAGGGAAGAAAAUGACGGUACCUGACUAAGAAGCCCCGGCUAACUACGUGCCAGCAGCCGCGGUAAUACGUAGGGGGCAAGCGUUAUCCGGAUUUACUGGGUAUAAAGGGAGCGUAGACGGCGAAGCAAGUCUGAAGUGAAAACCCAGGGCUCAACCCUGGGACUGCUUUGGAAACUGUUUUGCUAGAGUGUCGGAGAGGUAAGUGGAAUUCCUAGUGUAGCGGUGAAAUGCGUAGAUAUUAGGAGGAACACCAGUGGCGAAGGCGGCUUACUGGACGAUAACUGACGUUGAGGCUCGAAAGCGUGGGGAGCAAACAGG
rnacentral:rRNA from 1 species